rnacentral:lncRNA from 1 species
CAAUUUCGUACAAGCAAUUUUGGGGUUUUUGGACCCUUUGAAACCCACUGGAAGCAAUUUCUGUAGCUAAAUUUCAUAUUGAAUUUGCUGGAACUUGUUACACACACCAAAAACUAAAUUGUGUAUCUAAAAAUUGGAUAAAAAUAUUUACACUUUUUUAGAAAUAUUGAUCGUACAAGAAAAUCCACAUUUUUUGAAAAAGGCCCA